rnacentral:rRNA from 1 species
AGUGAACGCUGGCGGUAGGCCUAACACAUGCAAGUCGAACGGCAGCACAGUAAGAGCUUGCUCUUACGGGUGGCGAGUGGCGGACGGGUGAGGAAUACAUCGGAAUCUACUUUUUCGUGGGGGAUAACGUAGGGAAACUUACGCUAAUACCGCAUACGACCUACGGGUGAAAGCAGGGGAUCUUCGGACCUUGCGCGAUUGAAUGAGCCGAUGUGGGAUUAGCUAGUUGGCGGGGUAAAGGCCCACCAAGGCGACGAUCCGUAGCUGGUCUGAGAGGAUGAUCAGCCACACUGGAACUGGGACACGGUCCAGACUCCUACGGGAGGCAGCAGUGGGGAAUAUUGGACAAUGGGCGCAAGCCUGAUCCAGCCAUACCGCGUGGGUGAAGAAGGCCUUCGGGUUGUAAAGCCCUUUUGUUGGGAAAGAAAAGCAGCAGGUUAAUACCCCGCUGUUCUGACGGUACCCAAAGAAUAAGCACCGGCUAACUUCGUG